GUACACACCGCCCGUCGCUGCUACCGAUUGGAUGAUCCGGUGAAAUCUCUAGAUCGUGUUAAUACUCUAUGUCAAAGUAGAGUUUUAAUGUGAGAAGUUGAUUAAACCUUAUCAUCUAGAGGAAGCAAAAGUCGUAACAAGGUUUCCGUAGGUGAACCUGCAGAAGGAUCA
rnacentral:rRNA from 1 species